rnacentral:rRNA from 1 species
UAAAAGUCGUAACAAGGUUUCCGUAGGUGAACCUGCGGAAGGAUCAUUACCGAGUGUAGGGUUCCUAGCGAGCCCAACCUCCCACCCGUGUUUACUGUACCUUAGUUGCUUCGGCGGGCCCGCCAUUCAUGGCCGCCGGGGGCUCUCAGCCCCGGGCCCGCGCCCGCCGGAGACACCACGAACUCUGUCUGAUCUAGUGAAGUCUGAGUUGAUUGUAUCGCAAUCAGUUAAAACUUUCAACAAUGGAUCUCUUGGUUCCGGCAUCGAUGAAGAACGCAGCGAAAUGCGAUAACUAGUGUGAAUUGCAGAAUUCCGUGAAUCAUCGAGUCUUUGAACGCACAUUGCGCCCCCUGGUAUUCCGGGGGGCAUGCCUGUCCGAGCGUCAUUGCUGCCCAUCAAGCACGGCUUGUGUGUUGGGUCGUCGUCCCCUCUCCGGGGGGGACGGGCCCCAAAGGCAGCGGCGGCACCGCGUCCGAUCCUCGAGCGUAUGGGGCUUUGUCACCCGCUCUGUAGGCCCGGCCGGCGCUUGCCGAA